rnacentral:snRNA from 1 species
UAGACCACUUGUGCUAACAUUCUCCCUAGAAACGAUACAGAGAAGAUUAGCAUGGCCCCUGCACUAAGGAUGACACGCUACAUCAAAGAGAAGCUGCAAAUUUUU